rnacentral:rRNA from 1 species
UACGUAGGGGGCAAGCGUUGUCCGGAUUUAUUGGGCGUAAAGAGCGUGUAGGCGGCCAGGUAGGUCUGCUGUGAAAACUCGAGGCUUAACCUCGAGAUGUCGGCGGAAACCAUCUGGCUAGAGUCCGGAAGAGGAGAGUGGAAUUCCUGGUGUAGCGGUGAAAUGCGUAGAUAUCAGGAGGAACACCUGUGGUGUAGACGGCUCUCGUGGACAGUAACUGACGCUGAGACACGAAAGCGUGGGUAGCAAACAGG